ACAAAGCAGCACCCGCCCCACGAUCCCACCCGCGAUCCCUCCCCACCCCCUUGCACUGUUAACCAACACAAGUUUUAAAAAGUAGUUAGAGAGCCUGUUGGAACCAGCACCGAGUCUGCGUGUUUUCUCAAAUUAUUGAACUAGAAAGAAAUGAAAACAUCAAAAUACUCUCUUUGUAGCAGGCUCGAAUUGAGCGGCCGCCUCAUUCAGCCCGUGUCUCGGCCUCGCUACAGUGAUGGAGCGGUGGAAGGAAAGGAGAGCGAUUGAAAAGGAGCGAGGCCCAGCGGGGAGCCUCAGACUGCCAUUCGCAGACCGCGGGCGAGCUCUGAACGGUCCGCUCCGGAGGAGAGGAGCGGAGAGGAGAGGAAGAGAUUGACAGAGAAUCCACUGAGCGUUUUCUCUGGAUUGCACAUGUUAGCAGCCUAGAUUCUCUCAACAGCCUUCGGAGACUGGCACAGCUCUUCACCCCAGGGCUCAGAGAGGGAGCUGCUGCCCCCCCAUGCACACCCUCUCUGCUCAGGACUCAAGGCGCCAUGCUGAGCACAUCCGGACAACACAUCAUCCUCUUGGAAGCAAACAGUUCUCAGCACUCGCUCUGUGCCAGAUGCUGGUACAAAUUCAUGUUUCAUUUUGGGGGUUGUUUUGUUUUGUUUUCGAGACAGGAUCUCAUA